GACGGGGGGAGCAAGCGUUGUUCGGAUUUACUGGGCGUAAAGGGCGCGUAGGCGGCGCAACAAGUCACUUGUGAAAUCUCCGGGCUUAACCCGGAGCGGCCAAGUGAUACUGUCGUGCUAGAGUGCGGAAGGGGCUACUGGAAUUCUCGGUGUAGCGGUGAAAUGCGUAGAUAUCGAGAGGAACACCUGCGGCGAAGGCGGGUAGCUGGGCCGACACUGACGCUGAGGCGCGAAAG
rnacentral:rRNA from 1 species